rnacentral:rRNA from 1 species
GGAAUAUUGUUCAAUGGGUGCGAGCCUGAACCAGCCAUGCCGCGUGCAGGAAGACGGCCUUCUGGGUUUUAAACUGCUUUUGACAGGGGCUAAAAAGCCCAUGCGUUGGAAAUUGCUGGUACCUGUCGAAUAAGCCACUGCUAACUACGUGCCAGCAGCCGCGGUAAUACGUAGGUGGCGAGCGUUGUCCGGAUUUAUUGGGUUUAAAGGGUGCGUAGGCGGCCUUGUAAGUCAGUGCUGAAAUACUCCCGCUCAACGGGAGGGGUGGCAUUGAUACUGCAGGGCUUGAGUACAGAUGAGGUAGGCGGAAUUGACGGUGUAGCGGUGAAAUGCAUAGAUAUCGUCAAGAACACCGAUAGCGAAGGCAGCUUACUAAGUUGUAACUGACGCUGAUGCACGAAAGUGUGGGGAUCA